CUUCCUGAUUAAAAAUAAAACCUAGAUUCUAGUUAACAAGUCUAACAUCAAAAGGUAGUGGACAGUAAGUGGUUUUUUUUUAAAUUAAAGAAGGAGAUUCUAAUGUAGAAAGUAAGAGAUACAAAGCCAGACUUGUGACUAAAGGAUUUACACAAAGAGAAUGAAUAGAUAAUAAUGAAAUAUUUUUCCCACUUGUAAAAUCAAUGUCAAUCAGAAUUUUGCUUGCUCCAAUUGCUUAUUUAAUUGAGAAUUGGAUCGACUUGAUGUUAAAUUUGCCUUCAUAAACGAUGACCUUGAUGAAGUUAUAUACAUGAGUCAGGCAAAAUAUCUUUGUUGAAGAAUUCUUUUAUGGCUUAAAACAAUCUCUCAAACAAUGAUAUAAGAAAUUUAACUAGAAUAUUCAAAAUUAGGUUUUGUUAAGAGCAAUUUUGAUUUCUGUUUCUUUUACAAAAUGUCAGGAGGACCUCAAUCUAUUUAUUAAUUGUUAUAUAUUGAUGACAUAUUACUUGCUUGCCAUGUGGGAUCUGAAAUAUAUUUAAUUAAAUCUAAGAUAAAAUCUAGGUUUGAAAUGAAAGAUUUAGGACGAACUAAAAGAAUUCUAGGAAUGAAAAUUAAAAGAGAGAGAUAUAACUAUGUUGUUUAUCUAAAUCAAUGUUCUUAUGCGAAAAAUAUUCUUGAAACGCUUUCUAUGCUUGAAUGAGCACCUAUUUCAUUGCCCAUUGCUAAUCAUUUUAAGUUAUCUAGUGAACAAUUACGUAAAACGGAUUAAGAAUUUGAAAGAAUGAGAAAAGCACCUUAUGCUAAUGUUGUAGGUUCUAUUAUGUAUCUUAUGGUAUGUACUAAACCUGACUUAGCUUAUGGUAUAAGUAUUUUAAGCAGAUUUAUGGCAAACCCAGGUGAACACACUGGUUAGCUAUAAAGUGGAUGCUAUAAUAUUUAAAAGGCUCAACUGAGUUACGUUUACAAUUUAAAAGAUGUAAUGAAGGUAUAAUUCUUAAAAGCUAUACUAAUUCUGAUUUUGUUGGAGAUUUAGGUAAAAGAAGAUCUACUUUUUCUUGUAUUUUACACUGUGUGAUGAUAUAAUAGUUGGGAAAUGCAAUUGCGAAAGCUAGUAACCUUUUUUGACAAAGGCAGAAUAUAUUGUGGCUUGUGCUACUGCUAAAGAAAUUCUUUGGCUAGACGGAUUGUUAAAUGAAAUUGGUUUCAUAAAUGAAAUGGUUAGGGUAUAUACUAAUAAUCACAAUGCCAUUCACCUUGGGAAAAAUUCUAUAUACCUUGAUAGAACAAAACAUAUUGAUAUAAAGUUUCAAUAUGUGAGAAACAUGGUUGAGAAAUGCCUGAUUAUUUUCGUAAAAAACCAAUUAAAUUUAAUCCUUUCGAUCUCGGAACCAAAAUAUUAUCUUUAAAUAAAUUUAAAAACUGCUCCAAGAUUCUAAAUUUCACUUGGAAGGUAGUGUAUUUAGAAUAUCAAGUUGCAUCGUUUUUAAAUGUUCACUAACUUUAUUAAUUUUCUUUUUUACGGUUAAAUAAGAGCAAGUGAAACAGGUUGAUGUCUAGAUACAUUAGUUGAUGUCAAGAAUAGUUCAGCACGGUAGAAAUUGUUGAGUUUGGGUUGCCUCACUAUUAUUGGGUAUACUGGACUUGGGCUGGUGUAUGUGUUUCAGGGUCUAAGCCCAUUUAUUUCAUAAAAGUAUGUUUGCUGAAAAUGCAACUUUGCCUCUAUUAAAGGCUGAGAUCUAGCCUUACACAUGGCCUUCUCCCAGUUGUUGGAUUGGUAACUUUUGGGCUGGAAUAUAUUACCUCAAACGUCUCUCAUAUUGUUGUGUGGCUUUUGUGUGCUCUAUGGUUUCAGUCUCUAAGUGUUUUGUAUUCAUUCCAUGUAAUCUUUUGAUGAGAAUUUUCUUGAUUAUUUUUAGUGAGCAAUCGAAGAGAUUGUAAGGAGAUUACCUGGUUGUAAUUUUAGAGAGGCAAGAGGAAAUUUGAGUGAAGAGAUCUCUUUUUUCAUACAUUUGUAACAAUUCUUGGUUGAUUCUAGUGGAUAUAGAGUUAUAUCUACUUGUAAAUGUUCAACGUGGUGAUUAGUCCGAAAACUAAAUGUCCGGGGCCUUGGGGAUAAAACAAUUCUCCAUGUUCUUUCUUGCAAAGUAUUUUGGGUUUAAAUUGGGUUUUACAAAUGUUUUUGGGACUGAUAACACAUAGAAGGGACAGAUAGGGUGAGAGAUUUGAAUGCCACUGUCACAUAAUUCGUAAUCAGCUUAUUCGUACAGAAUCACUCUAGUUAGUUUAAUGGAGUUGAUGGAGGCCAAUGACUCAACACAGCCAAAGAAUAAAGAUAUUUGAGACCCCAGAAAAUACAAGUGUUUCUAAUAGAAAGCUGUGUGAAACCCAUCGAGAUUAAGAGCUUUAGUGAUUUCUGUGUGUUUAAUAGCAUGUCAUGAACGGGCAUCCCAAUUUUGCUGCAUAAGCAGUAAAAAAAGCAUCCUCCAGCCUACUUACUAUUGCCUUUAGCUUUAUUACCCAGGGCCUCGGGCUACUGUAGAUAGUAUCAAACAAAUCUUCUGAAGAAAGAAAAAUAUUGUCAUUUCCUCCACCAAUUGGUUGUAUGCAUUUUUAAGGUCGGAGAUGUAAUUUUUGUGUCCUCAACUAGAAGCUAGUGGAAAUAUUUUGUAGUCUAUCCAAUCAUUCAGCCACUUAGCUUGUGAUCUCUGUCUCAAAAACUCCUCCAUGUCCCCCAGAGAGUCAAUAGAUCUCUUGUGAGAUCCAAUAUCAGCCAUAAAAUCAGCAUAGUAUAGGUGAUGGAAAAGCAUCUGUCAUAUUUUUGCGAUUAAUUUCGCUUCAAUGCUGACGUGGAAAGUUAAAAAAAAAAGCUGAGAAAGCCAAUUUUCUUGUAAGUGACCCAGGCUGAAACAAAGAAAUCCCUCUUCCCUAACUCAAUUUCACUUUCCCAUUUACAUUUACGCUCCAGUUGCCCUAUUUUUUAGGCUACUACGCAAAUAAUCUCCACUUUCGAUCGCUUCGUCGACUGUUAGACAAUACUUCCUUCCUCCCUGUUGGUAAGAGACCACCGAAUACAUCAAUCACAUAGGUAAGAGAAAGAGAAGGAAACAACGAUGUGCGUUUUGAGUUUUGUGAUAUUAUUUUGUUAUUAACACAAUAAUUUCUUGUUUCAUCAUAUGAUAAAGACAAAAUAGGAUUUUUUGAUCUUUUAUCAACUUUAGUGUGUGCUAAAAAUAAUUUGACAGUGCUGAGCUUGUCGCCUGAGAGUUUGGGGUUUAUUGUGUACGAAGAAAAAAAAGUUGGGCUUUAAGCUUCUCCAAUCUUCUUUCAGUUUCAUGAAUAGGGAAAAAAAUUAGUUUCGAAAACAUAGUUUGAUAAUGCUGGGCUCAUUCAAUUAUGCUUGAGUUUUACUGUAUGCGAAAAAAUAAUUUCUAACUUAUGCAUCUUCAUUUUUCUUUCCGUUUUAGAUGUAAGGAAAAUCUUAGUUUUGAAAUGCAGAGCUUCAAUUUAAACCUUCAAACGAGGUAUAUUUACAAUUUCCUGUUUUGCUGGAUCAAAGAAAAUGCUAUAGUGGUGCUUUCAAUUAUAAGCAGCUUUCCAUUGGACAACGAAGAGAAUGGAUGAUUUCCUGUUUUGCUAGAUCAUAUGGUUGAAUUGAAGUAGUACUGUAUGUUAAUUUGUGAGAAUGAUAUGUUUACAUGUUGAUGUGGUUGUUUAAUGUGGUUGAAUAAGACUAAGUCGAUGGAAAGCAAAAAUAAGGGAAUAUGUCAUUGUUGUAGAUAAAGGGGACAUAUGUUGCCAGAAUGCUCGAGAAAGAGAAGCUAUCCAAAUUGUGGUUUGGGAUUCAUCAAAUGGAUGGAGGUCGAAAAGAACAAUGAUCAUAAAUGGCUAUUGUUCCAUUGUUGUACUCGCGAUUGUAGGUACUUCAAGUGGUGUAACAAAUUCCUUGACAAAAAGUGUCCAUUGCAUGAUGAUGGUAAAUCAAGUGCAUCAGAAAUGGAGGCGAACACGUGGAUGAUUAGCCACAAAUGUUAAAAACGCUUGCUAAGCUAACUGACGAAAAAGACUUGAAGAUCUGGCUUAGAAUAAAUAUGCACAAAGGAAAACAAGUUUUGGAGAAUGAAAUCUAAAUAUGUUGUGUAUUUGGAUGGUUUAGGAUGGUGUAUAGGAAAAAGACUUUCGAAUUGUUGUCGUCGAAAGUGCUUAUGUACGAUAUGUUGGUACUUUCAUAUGUAAUCAGAUUUUCUCAAAAAUUGUAUUGAUGUUUAACUAGCUUUUCAAGGUGUGACUUGCUUCUCAAGGUGUGCCAAGAGUCCCUUUGUACUUAUAGUUACUGUCUAUGAGAAUGGUCACCACUUACGUUGUGAUUUGAAAAGAAUGUUUAGUUGUAGUUUCACUGCAUUUAUGUUGGCAAGGCACACUUUAUUUGGCUAGUGAUUUUUUUGUUUUCAAUUUUAGAAGUAUGUUCGAUUUUUA